rnacentral:lncRNA from 1 species
UCAAGCUUUUCAAAGUUACAGGUACUCAGGAUGCUGCGUUGCGGUCGACGUUACCAGCCAAUAGUGGAAGAAGGCAACGUUCUAUCUGCUGAUGCUGAAUCAUUGAUGAAGGAAAUCCACUGUUUGGAACAAUUAAAUCUCAUCACCUUGUCCUUACAUGGUUCGCGUGGUGUUGAAAACUUUCUGAAAUUCCCAAAGCUGCAGAAUAUCACUCAAGCUCUGUCCAUCGAAGACUGCAACAGUCUACCGCUCAAUUUGUUACAUCUAGCAAACAUGGAGCAUCUUGAGGAGUUAUAUAUCGAGGAUAGUAAUUUGGAAGACUGGAAUGUCGACUGCGCGGGAGAGGUACAAAAAAUGCGUAAACUUCACUCGGUUCUCAUACGGAAUUGCUCAAAUGUGAAGGACUUGACGUGGCUUGUUUUUGUUCCAAAUCUCAAGUGGCUGCGAAUAGUUGGUUGUGAUGACAUGGAAGAAAUAAUCAGUGUUGAAAAAUUUGAAAAAUUGAGUGAAGUUUCAGAGAUGAUGGGAGAGCUUAACUUGUUCUCAGAACUCGAACUUCUGGUAAUAAGAAAUGCAAGUAAUUUGGAGCGCAUCUACCGCGAUCCCUUGCCCUUUCCACAGCUGAACCGAAUUAGCAUAUUGAAAUGCCCAAAGUUGAAGAAGCUCCCACUCAAUUCCAGCAGCGCAAAGGGACGUAAAAUUGCCCUUGCGGGACAGAAAGAAUGGUGGGAAGAGCUACAAUGGGAGGAUCAAGCCACUCAAAAUGCUUUCUCUCCCUGUUUCCGACCUAUUGAAGAAUAAAGUGCGAUAAGGCACAAAAGUGUGAAUAAAAUUUCUGCGCGUGCUUAAUGAUUAUCUUGUCUAUCUAUUUCAUUUAAUUUAAAAGUUUUCUACGGAGUUGCAUGUGUGUCACUUGUCAUUCUUCUGUACUGCUGUUUCCUAUUUCCAGUUAAUAAAAUUUUUUUGUUCUUAGAGUUAGAAAUGCUUUACUUGUAAGGGAGAUUCACAAUUUUCCCAUAUUAUGAUUAAUAUAUUCUUUUUACUUUCCUACUAUUUUGCAUAAUUUUUUAAUAUUAUUUUUAUUUCUAAAUAUAUUUUUAUUCAUAUUUAUUAUAAAUUAAAUAAAUGUAUGAAUAGAAAUAAAAAUAAAAAUAAAAAUUAAGUAUUAAAACAAGAAAUAUAUAUUAUGAUUUGAAUAAAAAAUAAAUAUUUUUUUGUACUUAGAAUGCCAUUUGUCGUGAGCACCUGAAUCCCCAAAGGACUCCCAGCUUCAAGUGGCUUUGACUUAGCUUGCUUUAGCUCCAUUGCACAUACUCACUCACAUGGAGGAAAUGAACAGAACAAGAAACCUCAUCAUGCCGAAUAUGAUAGAUAUGACAAGGCAUUACAUUGUAGGAAGCUCCCGAUUUCUCUAAAAAACUCUGCAGGUUCUCCGCAAUCAAGGCGUGCUCCAUCUUUAACAGAUCACUUCUACCAUUAAGAGAAGGAAGAGAGUUCCUCUCGUGUGACAGUAAAUCCUUACUUAACACAGGAUUGGAGCCAACCAAGAAGGGAAGGCAAUUUCGUUAGAUUAAGAAUCGAAUCACCAUCCAAUAUAGUAGCAUUUGAACCAGAACUCUUGUUAAAUUCUUGAAAUCUCCUGCUUUCAUCAGUCUGUAAGAGAAAUGAAGAUGAGAAUAAUAGCCAGAACCGGAUUAAAUUCAAUCUGGUCUUUUGAAGACUUCUAUAACAACUAAGAGAACCCAGUGUACCGCCUACAGAUACUGUCAGGCUUCUAUCAAAUAUCCCAAACACCAAAAACCAACCAAAUUAAGCUAACAAACCUGCAUGAAUAUCUAAAUUUCAAUGCAUAUGAAACAAACUCCAUGUUCAAUCCACCAAAACUAGCAAAUUUCAAACUUUAUCACUCAUCAUUCUCUCUCUGUCAGCUGUACGAGGCUAUGAGAUCAUGUUAUAAUGUUCAUAUUGAUGCUGAAUGUUUUGCCAGCUUGUCUGAAUUCCAUAAGAGAAUGCAAUGUGCACAUUAUUGUGCCUUGCCCACCAGUAGAUUCUAAACCACAAAAUCAUUCUGUGAAGUAGCUGACGUUUCGCACAUUCUUAUCCCUUACCAUCAAUAUUCUUCUCCUCAAGCUUAGAUCAUGGAAAUUUGAGUGAUAACACGAUCUAAACUUUAGGGGCAUAAAGUAACAUAGAAGCAACAUGGGAUGUUUUAAAAUCUAUUAUAAUUUGCUUAGGCCCCUGAAUAAAAUUAAAACUUGAAAUGAAAUAAAGUAGCAAAAUAAAGAUUGGAGGUCGCAUGCUUGAUAUUUGAUGCUGUCAAAAUUAAUUUGCAGUGCUGAAAUUGCUGCUCCAAUAAAUUUUUCAAUGGGAUUUCCAUAUUUACAACAAAUUUUCAGUAUUGAAACAGGAUUAAAAUCAUAAAGUGUCUUUUAAACAGCAGAGGCAACAAGAUCCUACAGAAAAAGAAGGCAAAAAGUAGUUACAAGCUACAGAAACGCAAAUAUUCUACUGGCCAACUCCCACUAAAUUCGAAGCGAUUCUAAAAUCUCAGCUUGUACUACUACAUCAUUCCUUCUAUGUAGCCCAACUGUACUUCACCCAGAAAUCACAUUUCUUCAUCAGAGAUAAUUUUACAUCAUUCCUUAUCAUUAGGCAUAAGGCUCCCAAUGUUCUUGGAGGAAUUAUGAUGAAUAUGAGGGUUUCAAAAAAGAAAAAAAAAUAUUAUGACAACCUCUAGGCGGAGGAAAUCAGUUUUCUAGGAAUUCGUUAGAUUGGUGAAGUUAUAGAACCUUAGCAAUUUGCUGUAGUUUGGAAUGUUUUUGCCUUUCAUUAUAGCAUUUGCAAAGGCUCAAGGAUAUAGAAGAACCUUGGCUACAAAUUCAGGGAAGAUUUCACUUAUAAUGAGAAAUAAUCACCAUUAUUCUAUACAAUGAGAAAACAGUUAUGGAAGAAAUAGAAAGAAUUACCCGAAACGAAGGAUUUGGAAGACAAUGAGACAAAAGUAUAAAGAAGAAGAAAUUGGAGAUAUAAUGGCUGCCAAUUUCUUUGAUGAACCCAUCAAAAACGGCUUGAAAAUUAAAGAAAUUGUCAAAUGCUGUAACGGAGGAAUUGAAACUGUAAAAGAUGCAAGUUAAUUCAUGGGGCUGGCCAUCUUGAUUGAUUGAACACCUACACGUGACAAGUGUGCGAUAAUCGUUAUAUCUUCAAUUUUAGGCAGUUUUUCAUUUCUUUUAUUUUAAUAGUAAAAAAAUACGCCAUUUUAGAUACAAAUGCCCCUGACUAGCCCUUUUGUAAGUUACAUUGUUUGGUGCGAUAGUCCCGCACGUGCUUGACAUUUGCCGAAUAUCUUAUGCGCAUUUUUUUUCCCCUCUAACUCAUUGUGUAUGCUCAUCUUUAUGUGCGUUAUUACCUAAACUUAUAUACCAAUCAAAAUAAAUCAUAAAGUAUCAAACGCUUUUAAAUGAUUUUUAAUAUUAAAGAACUCACUUUAAUGAUGUUUAAUUGGUAGUAGCCCUUUAUAGUCUUUAAACCUUUAGCAGUGCAAAGUCACAAGCUUUGUCCAGAAUCUAAUGGCGUAGAUUAUAGGCGAUGGGUGCCAUCACCUGGGCAACGACGUACAUCGCUUGGGCGACAAGCCAAUUUACUAGGCUCAUCGCAAACAGCCUUCGUCGCCUGGGCGAUGGCCAAAUCCAUCCAAUAAACUUUCAGCUCAUGUUUGAUAGCCUAAAAAAAGUAGUUAUGGUGACCAUCACACAUCACAUUUUACUGACAAGGUGUCUUAAUUUUCAUAGAAAAUUGUUCCUACUGAUUUUCCAAUCCUGGCCUAAUACUUGCAGAUUAUUAAACGAUUAUGGAAUGGCAGCAAACCGGCGCCGCGGAGGGGGGCCGGCCCGGGGUUGUUGUGCUGAUUUGGGAGGGGUAAUAAACCCUCUGAGGCAAUUUAGCAAACAUAUUAUGUGCCAUGAUUUUAGACCAGUAAUUUUGUCAAUAAUAGCUAAUUCGCAAUCCCAUUACAAAUCUAAUAAUCUAUUGCAUACACGCUCUUGAUGACUUGGAUUCUCAAAAAAUAAUCAUUUUACGCCGCUGAGGCGCAGAAAAAUCAAUUGUGUUGUCCCUUUAUACUUUUUCAUUUGUUUUGCCCACGUCCAAAUAAAACAGAUUCUGGUAAAUGUGAUAAGGAAAUGUUUGUUUCAAUUUCCAACCCAUAUCUCAUAAAGAAUUUCUCACUCAAAUAAAUAAAUAUUAUCCGGUAAUGGUAUGACAUUUAUUUUGAAGUAAACACCGGCACGCCAUUUUCUCAUUUUUUUCAUUUUUUGAGGACACCAUUUUCUCAAUUGAAGAAUAUAUUUUGGCCAAAAUUCACAAUGUUCUCCACAUGAUUUAAAGCACACAGAAUUCACACUUGUCUCCACAUGAUUUAAAAGCACAAGGAAUUCUCUUGACCUUAAUUACGAAUCUUUUUAUGUUUAUUGAAAUCCAAUAUUGUUGACUCAUUGGUGUAGCCAGAAAAUCAUAUUAAUAUAGUAGAAUUUAUAAAUAACCAAAGAAAAAAGUUCACGCUCUUACUUUAUUACUUUUAUAAUUUUAUUAGUACAUCUACUAACAUGUCUUCAUAAAAUAUAGUUUUAAGAGGAUAUUUUUAUGGUUGUAGAUAUUUUUAUUUUUCUUCUUAAUAAUAGAUUUAAUUUUCAUCUUUCUAAUGUUAAGUUGCACAUUUGGACUAAAUCAGAUUAAAUUUCAAAUUAGAUGACAGGCCUUAUUUUAAUAGAUUCAAUUGGAUUUUGGACAUCUAAUUAAACAACUGGAUUAAUAAAUUGCAAAUGAAUGAGAUUUAUAUGUGAUUUUAAAAUAAAAUUUGAACUUAAAUCUAUGUAUUCAAUUAAUCCAACAAGACAAAUUUAUAAUUUCUACCACCUAAAUAAAAUAUGUUAUCAGAAACUUUUGGACCAAGUAGGGGCAGUUCAUCACUUCGUCGGCCUGCUACUACUUAUACUCCUUUCUCAUUCAACUUUCACAUCUUUUAUAUUAUAUACAAACUAGAUUUGUCAUGCAAGUAUUUGACAGAAGAAAUCUCAUUGGAAAUCGGACAACUUCAAGAAAUUCAUUUAUUGAAUUUGUCACAUAAUUGCUUGUCGGUUUAUAAACCAAAAAGGUAUUCCAAAUUAAAAGUGGUAGAGAGCCUAGACUUUUCUUACAACAGAUUAAGUGGUAGAAUUCCUCCUUAAUAGACUGAGCUCAAUUUUUUGAUCUGUCUUCAAGACGUCAUACAACAACUUGUCCAACCUGAUACCAAACAAAGAGCAGUUUGCCACAUUCAAUGAAGGCAGUUAUGGAGGAAAUCUGCAUCUUUGUGGUCCAACAGUUAAUAAGAGUUGCAACAAUGCGGAGGAAAUACCAGCAAUAGAAUCCAAUCGAGGAGAAGAUGAAGAUGAAUGUGCAAUUGAUAUGGUGUCAUUCAGUUGGAGUUUCGGUUCAUCAUAUGUCACAUUCAUCAUGGGGUUUUUCGCGAUACUUUGGAUAAACUCAUACUGGCGCAGAAUGUGGAUCUAUUACAAUCAUGUAUUCACUAGGCCAUACGCGUGAUGUGCUUUUCUGCUAAAACUAGUUCACAAAUGUGAUUUCAUUAAAAUUAGUCUAUACACAUCUUUCCCUUGGCUUUUGUUGGCUCCAACUCCGGACUUUUAUUCAUAUCAUUACUUUAUGUAGUUUCCCCAAAAGGCUUGUGAUGAUUAAUGCAGUUUAUAAAUUAUUACUACUACAAUAAUGAUAUAAUAAAUAAUUUUUUUUAAGUUGUAAAAGUGAGAAAUACUAAAGAGAUCUUUAUUACAUCAUUAAUGUUCGAUCAAGAAUUUCCUCAUCCGAGCUUGCAGUCUGUGGAGGAGACUGUAUCAAUGUCGAAAUUCUCCGGACCGGCACUAUUUGCUGUUUCUCCAUUGAAUAGUGCGUCUUACUACAACAAGGUGAAACACAGCCCAGUGUUCUGAUUGGGCCCAAUGCGAAAAACAUAAAACCCAAAUUUUUGUUGACUUUGGGCCUGCUCAAAUACCAUGCCCAAUUGUGUCUAGUUGUAACAAAAGCGGCGAGAUGUUCAUGCCCAAACCCGCAAGAUUGUUUUAAUAUUUAAAAUUUAACAUGAUUCUAGAAUUUUUGUUAAUAAAAAAUAAACCACCAAGAUUCUAGUGAAUAACAAAUGUAUACAUAUACACGUGCUGUGUAGACCGGGCCAAUUCUUGUGGAAUUCUCCAACAACCAUCCUGAUUCUUGAAUUGCCGCGAAAAUUCCGCAAGCGAUGAACCCUCUCUUACGCACCACUCAUUCUCUAUCACAAUGAUCAAAAUAAAGACGAGGACGGAGACUAUUAAUCACUGAGAGUGAUUUUCUCAAUAUUUGUCAAUCACUACUAAGAUUCAUUGUCAAUCAAUAAUAUCAAUUGACACAAAGAUUGAUUGUCUUUUUUUUUUUUUCGAGAAUAUCAGUGCUUGAAUACAUUAUUUGAUAUAUAUAAUUCAAUGUAAACUCAAUCAUACUCUUAAAUUAUUUUUAUAAAUUCUCAAUAUCAGUCUUUGAUUUUAAUUCGAGUUUUGAUUCAAAUUAAUGCAAGGAUACAAAAGGACUCAAGAGCUUCAUAUAUCAAUUCUAUGUUAUUAACUUAUUAUUUCGGUGUACACCACAAAUUUAUGAGUAAUUUAUUAAAAUGUCUAAACAUAUAUGAAAAAUAGUUGAUUAUUGAUUUUCACAAAUUUCAAUAUAUCAAACAUCCUAUCGAGUUAUUAAUUCCAAAGCACAUUAUUUAAGAAUCAAUGCUAGAAUAAAUUAUUUGAUAAUUUCAAACCCAAAUUUACGCUUAAAUUCUUUAAAUUAUCUCAAUCAACUUUUUUUUUUCUUAGCUGACCAUCUAUAUCAGCUAUUGGAAAAAAAAAUAGAAUUGACGACUACUUGUAUGUUGGCCUAAUUUGAAAGUCAAUCAACAUUUAUUUUCCAUGUAAUGUUAAUGAAGCAUUUCCCUCAUUGGUCCAACAUUGCAACAUGUGGAAUUUCAGGCUUACAAUUCCUCAUUAGUCAUUACAGAUACCGAAAUUGAUUGUCAGACAAUAUUGUCAUUUCAAUAUAUGCCACAAUUUUAUGAGUAAUUUACUAAAAUCUUUAAAUAUAUAAAAUUUGCAUGUGUGUAAUAAACCUGUAUUUAUAUAUAAAAUUUGCAUAUUUAAAUUGCACCUCUCCAUGCAUCAUAUAAAAUGUCAUUUCAAUGUGAUCCACACUUUUAUGAGUUAAUAACUAAAUAUUGUCACUAAAUUUUUCCUAAUUGUUGCAUGCAUUAGAUUUUUUUACGAAAAAAAAAACAUGCUACAUUAAGUGUAAAACAAUUGAGGAAAAGAUUAGAGAACACAAUGAGAAAAGAAAUUUUUUAUACAACCUUUUCAUCAAUAAAAAUCAUAUUCAUACUAAUCAAUUCUUCAUUCCUCUUGGUAUUAACAGACUCUCACAUCCUACAAAAUCUAACCCUUAUCAUCCAACUAUCUUUAUCAUUAUUUAACUCAUGAAGAAAAGAGUACUCCAUGAAGCACACAAUACUAAAAAUUCAAAUAAGUCAAAAAUAAAAAUGCAAGAAUAUUUCUAAGGAGGAUGUUGGUUAAAUAAUAAAAAACCCAAACAUAACAAAUCUUAAAUACUUAAUGUUUAUAGACUUUGAAGAAGUCAAAAGACAUUAAACAAAAUGUUGCAUAAUUAAAUAUGGAAUUAUGACAUUAAAAUUAGGCCCUAAUGGCAUUGGUGAGUGAAGAUGAAGGAACCUUCCUUCCUAUAUUAAUUAGUUGAUGUAUUUUAAGUCACUAAAGUUUAGUUGUUGGCUUAAUAAAAUAAAUGAAUGUUUCAAGACUUAUAAUUAAUUAUUAUUAAUGGUUGCAUAUUAUUGAAUUUAAAUAGAAAGAGGAAGAGACAUGUAAUUUUUUGUAAUCUAAUAAUUAUUUUCUAUUUUGUAAUGUAAUUAUUUUUUAAUCUCAACCAAUAUAUUAGAUAAUAGAGAAUAUAAAAAGAUAAGAAAUAAUGAUGUCACAAAUCUUAAAUACUUAAUGUUUACAGAGUUUGAAGAAGCGAAAAUGCACUAAACAUAAGGUUGCAUAAUUAAAUAUAGGAUUAUGGUAUUAAAAUUAGGCUCUAAUGGCAUUGUUGAGGGAAGAUGAAAGAAACUUUCUUCCUAUAUUAAUUAAUUGAUGUAUUUUAAGCCACUAAAGUUUAAUUGUUGGCAUAAUAAAAUAAAUGAAUGUUUUAAGACUUAUAAUUAAUUAUUAUUAAUGGUUACAUAUUAUUGAAUUUAAAUAGAAAGAGGAAGAGACAUGUAAUCUUUUGUAAUCUAAUAUUUAUUUUCUAUUUUUAAUAUUUUGUAAUGUAAUUAUUUUUUAAUCUCAACCAAUAUAUUAGAUAAUAGAGAAUAUAAGAAUAUGAGAAAUAAUGAUGUCACAUCACCUCUUGUAGUCCCAACUCUCUCUCUCUCUCUCUCUCUCUCUCUCUCUCUCUCUCUCUAUAUAUAUAUAUAUAUAUAUAUAUAUAUAUAUAUACAUACAUAUUAUUUUCUAAAAAGUAUUUCUAAUUGUUUAACGUUUUAUUUAUGAGUAUUUUUAAGAGUUUAAAAAAUAUGGGAAACAGAAUCAAUUUUAUCAAAUAAAAAGAAUAUUGGUCAUUUUCUUCAUAAAGAAAGUGUUAAAAUACUUUUGGUAUUUAAGAAGUAACAAUUUUUUUUUUUGUUUCAUAAAAAAAGCAUUCAAAAUUAUAUUAAAUAAAAUUAAAGAUUAACAAAACUGACGUCUGAAUUUCGUGUAAAUUAUAAUAAGUUUAUCUCCAGCAUGAAUGACAUUAUAGCGUGGCUAGCAUCAUCAAAAUUCUGGUAACAUUCCAAGGUUGUCAAACUAAUCAUCUCAAAAUGUCAUUAUACUUGUAGCGUGCGGGCAUCAUCUUUACUUUCAGCAUCAAAAUUCUUUUAUUUAAUACACUUUUAUUUUAUACAAUUUUUAUCAUAUUAAAAUCCUUUGUAAUUUAAGCUCUCUCGGACUUUUAAAAAUGUUAUGCCACCCCUUCUUUAGCAGUAAUAGUAUAUGAUUAUGAUUUAAUUAUUUUAUUUUUUAAUUUAUCAAACACCAAUCACUUAAAUUUAACCUAAGAAAAAAUUAGAACAUCAGAUAAUUUUAAUUGAUUCUUAUUAAGUACUAGAAUUAACUGCUCCCAAUGAUAAUUUAUUAAGCAAACCAUAGUGAUCAUCUUACACUAAAGAACCAACCCAUCUUCAAAACACAAGAAUUUAGUACAAAUAAUUAUCCCAAUAAAGUUUAACGAAAAAGGAAAGAGAUAUUUUUAUUAUUUCUUUUCCUUUCUUUCAUUUCAAUUUCUUGCCUCCUGAGCUCUUCUAAAAGCCAACCAAACCACUUAUUUAAAAAAAAAAAAAAGGAACCAGACAAAGCGCAAGAAAAAAAAUUAAAAAAUUCGCAGUCUACACACAUCCCAGCACCGUAUGCGUCCAAUAAUUCAUCUCCAAUAAUUGCCCCUAUAUGACCACCGGUUUGUACUUGCAUAUAUGUGAAACAGGAUAAAAUCACAAUGUGUCAUUUAAUUAGCAGAGGUAACAAGAUCCUACAGAAAAGGGUUUACAGGAAAAGAAAGGAAAAAAAAUUGUUACAACAUACAGAAACCCAAAUAUUCUACUGGCUAACCCCCAUUAAAAUUCGAAACCAUUCUUAAAUCUCAGCUUAUACUACUUCAUCAUUCCUUCUGUGUACCCCCAACUGAAUUUCUGGCAGAAAUCACAUUUCUUCGUUAGCCUCAACUCAUGCAUCUUUUACUUUUAAUCAAACAUACUUUUUUAUCUGCUGGGCUUUUUAACAAAGAAUAAUUUUCCUUAGAUCUUUUCUAAUAGACAAGAAAGCACAAAGCACAAAUAUCUAGGAAUGUUUUUGCCCUUCAUCAUAGCACUUGCAAAGGCUCCAGGGUAUAGAAGAACCUUGGCUACAAAUUCCUGGGAAGACUUCACUUAUAAUCAACUGGAAGGAUGUCACCUCUACGGGCGUUGUACAUUUUCCACUUCUACGUGGUAUCCUGCAGAAACAAACAAUAAAACACGUGUUAUACAAGUAUUUUUUAAGUAUGAAAUACAUCAAAAGCAUUUAUGAUGCCAUUAAGUUUAGUCAAUACAAUCUCUCAAGGCAGGACAAGAGAUUUGAGAUUCAAACUCCACCUACGUAGGAAAGGAAUGUCAAAAAGAAAUGCGGUUGGGAUAGGUUAUUACGUUUUAUUCUUUUUAUUACUAGAAUUGAAUAAUGCUGCCUUUGACAGUAAAAUAAACGUCAAGUGAUAAUUGAAUUAUAAAAAAGUGAGGUAAAUGGUGAGAAAUAAUCACCAUUAUAAUUUAUAAUAUAAAAUGAGGAAAUAAUUAUGGAAGAAAUGGAAAGAAUUACCUGAAAAGAGGGAUUUGGAAGACAAUGAGACAAAAAUAUAAGGAAGAAGAAAUCGAAGAUAUAAUGCCUGCCCAUUUCUUUGACGAACCUGUAAAAUGUCGUGAUUGAGGGAAUUAAACCGUAUGACGUUUAUGAAAUACUAACUAGGCAACCCAAGAGGGGGGUGAAUUGGGAUUUUAAAAAUUAUCCUAGGCAAACCACACAACAAUUUAAUCUAAUGCCUUAAUAAAUUCGAAAACAAUAAAUUCAAUAAAAGCACAAUAAUAAAUGAGUAAGGGAAGAGAAAGCAAACCCAAGGAUUUUUACGUGGUUCGGCAAUCCCCGCCUACGUCCACGCCUCCAAGCACACCGGGCUUGAGGAUUUUACUAAGCUAGCCUCCCAAGGCUUCAAACGCUUACAAUUGACUUCCAAGGUGUCAAUGGACCUUUACAACAAGAGAUUAUCCCCAAUCUCUUAACCCAAGUGUAUCCCAACACUUACAAUCUUUUAACUUGAUUUUACAAAAAAGAUUACAAAUGAAUCUCUCUCACACAAUGUGUUUGAUCACAAGUGAAAGCUCAAUGUGUGAAUGAAUGAGAUGAAUACAAAGAUUUAAAGCUCAAUGAAAGUUGUAUUCUCAAUAUUUUGCUCAAUGAUGAUCGUUGGAAUUCUUCUUGUUUGAAUUGGAUUGAGAUUAUUUAUAGUUGGAGCUGAAAAACUAGCCGUUAUAGACUGUCUGCUAGAAAACGGUUCGCCGUUAACCAUUAACGGUUAACCGUUUAGGCCGGUCAAAGUUACCGUUGGGCCAAUUUUCAAAUAAACGGUUAGCCGUUUAUUCUUACCCUUUCGCCGUUAAUUUCCAGAGACCUGCAAAACAAAUUUGGUUUAACCGUUCUUAUUAAACGGUUCAAGGUUAACAAUCUGGAAAUAAUCGGUUAACCGUUUUCAGUAAACGGUUCACCGUUAGUUUCCAGAAUCAUCAUUUUAAUAAUACUUUACAGAACAUGCUUUCUGGAAAUUAUCGGUUAGCCGUUUUAAAUAAACGGUUAGCCGUUUGCUACAGUGAUUGCUACAGUGAAAAUAUUUUCUAAAUUUAUAAUUUAACCCCAAAACUUUAUAAAACUUUAUUACGGCCCAAAACGUUAUGAAACUUUGCACAUAGGUCCAAUUUCAGAAUUUCUAAAUAAUACUUUGUUAAUCCCAAAACUUUUUGAAAUUAUGGUAUAGCCCAAAAUGUUAUGAUACUUUUCAAAUAAGUCCUUUACCAAGAUUUCAAGCAAUACUUGUUUAUUUCAAAGUUUUCAAAAUUCUUUCAAUUAAACCAUAAACUUUGAAAAACAACCAAUUUCAUAAAAUCAUUUUUCCAUUAAAUAUGAAACAUUUAUAAUGUGAAAAUAAUGAUUUAUUUAAAAAGAAUAAAAACAAUCAAUUUCAUAAAAUUAUUUUUCCAUUAAAUAUAAAACAUUUAUAAUGUGAAAAUAAUGAUUUAUUUAAAAAGAAUAUUAAAUAAUUUGAGCUUAAAAGAUUAAUCAUUCUUAAUCUUAUUUGUUAUCAUCAAAAUCAAUAUUAUGAAAAUAUAUAUGUUAACAGUUUACUUUGGCGGCCCCCAGUCUUGUCAAUCAGAGAAUAUGUUUUGGCCGAAAUUCACAAUUCUUACCACGUGAUUUAAUUAAAGCACACAGAAUUCGUAAUUUUCUCCAGACAAUUUAAAUUAAACCCGCACUCUUUAUGGACUCCACUUUUAAGAAGGAUAUUGCCCACCGAGCAAACUAACCAAAACUCUUUUCCCUUCUGCGUUCAUUCUCCAACUCGUUGUCACUUUGUUUUGCUCUUCCUCUCUAUAUGAUUUUUAAGAACUAUUAAAUGUUUGUUUGUUUCUUAAAAAAAAUGUUUGUUUUUUUUUGUAUUAGAUGAUUAUAAAUAUUUAUUUAAUUUUAUAUUUUUUUAAAUUUUUUAUUAUUGUUUCAUUAUUUUUUAGUAAAUUUUUAAAAAUUAAAUAAAUUAUUUUUAUUUCUGUUAAUAAAAAUUUAAACUUUAAAUUUUUGAGGGAUGAGAUUUAUUUUUUUUAAAUAUUAAAAUACUUAAAAUAUCUUUUAUUUAUGUAAUAAUUUUAUUUUAUUUUUUUGUUAAAUAAUUUUAAAAAAAAUUAUUUAUUAAAAUAAUUUUAUAAUUUUUAAUAAAAACUCUUAUUAUCAAUUAAAUAACUAAAAUUAUUUUCAUAAAAACUUUUAUAAUAAAAAUCCUACCACACCGCAGAGUCUGCACUUACCUGCGCGUACUGUUUAAAACCCCUCACCGGCUCUGCUCUCGCCACCAAUAUUAAGAAAGAUACUUUGUUGUGGUGGCAUUUUGGUAAAAAAUAUGGGCCCCCAAAAUAAUCAUAAUAAUUAAGGAUUUAGCUAUGUGGCAACGGGUACACCAUACACUUUUUUUUUUUUUUUUUUUGUGCUGCCACAGUUAGAUCCAACACAAAAGUAGUAUUAAGAGCAAGAUGUGUUUGUUUGUUUAUUAACAAUGCAAUCCCUAAUAUUUGUCAAAAAUUUUAAAAAGUUAAAGUUUAUAAAAUUUUGUGCCAAUAUUUUUUUCCCAAAUUCUCUUAGCACAAUUAAUUGUGUUAUGGUAUCCACUUUUGCAGGUUAUAAUCAAGAGAUCAGACAUGAUAGAUACAUAAAAAAUAAUAUAAAAUAAAAAAAUUUUGAAUUUUUGUUAAAGCUCUCAUUUCUAAUAAUUUGUUAAAAUAUUCUUUUACCUAAGAAAACAAACUCAUUGACAUAAUAAAAAGAGUUUUACUGAUAAAAUAAUAAUUAUUCAAUUAUUAGAAGUGCUACAGUUAGAUUUUUUUAAGUUGAAAAUGUAGAGAAGCAUGGAGGAGAAGAGGAGAAGAAGACACAUAAUAAAACAUAAAAAUUUUCAAUUUAUUUAUACCUGAAUUCCAUUGUAUGAUGAAUAGAUUGUAGGUACAAAAAUAUAUUUAUGUGAUUUUCUUUUAUAUAAAAAGUUCAAUUCAUUAUUGCUUAUAUGAUAUAGAGCAAAUUAAUCUUAAGGUAAUGAGAAAGUAGCUUCAAUGAGAAUGCCAAGCUUCUCUUAUUGAUUGUAAUUGAUUGAUUACAUAUUUAAUUAAAAAAAUUCAAAAGGACGUAGAGGUGAGGGUUUUGAAGAAAGAGAAAAAAGAAAUUACUUCAAUAAUUUGUAAAUACAGAAGAGAUUAGGGGGUCAAAAAAUACAAAAAGUAGGGUAUGGUGGACCCAUUGUACCGUAGCUCAACUCAAGCCAAUAAAUUAAUUGUUUUAUCCUAUAAAUAAAAAUUAAUGUUGUGUAUUUGCCUAUAACUUGAGGAGGUAAUAAAAGUCUUUCGUUAUACUCUACUGUUAGUUUCUCGCCUUUUAUUCCUCUGAAAUCUUUCAACAAAAAUGGGUGGCGUCAUCUCAACCUUCUUAUCAGCGGACACAAUUCGUCCAAUUUUAUCUUACGUUGGUGGAGAAGCUAAGUAUAUAUGGGGUCUAAAAGAUAAUCUUGAUGACUUGCAGACUCAGAAGGAGAAGUUGAUUGAGAAAAAAGAAGAUAUGCUGAAUGAGGUUGAGCUUGCUGAACAACGACCCCGAACCAGACGGACGAGAUCGGUGCAACGCUGGUUUGAAAGAGUGGAUCGAAGGGUAACUGAAGUUGAGAGGCUGCAACAAGAAAGAGAUCAAGAGAUUGACAGAUUGUGCCUUGGAGGCUUCUGUUCCAAGAACUUGAUCUCAAGCUACAGCUUCGGGAAAAGAGUGGAGAAGAUGAAGAACGAAGUGAUCGAAUUGAAGAAAGGAGGAGAAGCAAUCAAUCCACUUUAUGAGGAGGUACCAGAAGGUGCAGCGGUUGCAAUAGCUGUUGACCGAACAAUUGUCGGUCAAGAAUCAAUACUAGACCGAGUUUGGAGAUGCAUCACCGAUCAAGAACAGAAUAAGGGAAUUAUUGGCUUAUAUGGUAUGGGGGGCGUCGGCAAAACUACUCUGUUAAAGCAAGUCAAUAACAAAUUCUGCAGUGAUGAACAGCAUCAUUUUGGUGUCGUUAUCUGGUCGGUUGUGUCGAGAGAGCCAAACUUGAAGCAGAUUCAAGUGGAUAUUGGAAAAAGGAUAGGCUUCUCAACAGAUUCAUGGCAGAGAAAAAGUUUUGAAGAAAGGGCUUCAGACAUCACCAACGCUUUAAAGCAUAAGAAGUUUGUAUUGUUAUUGGAUGAUAUAUGGGAGUCCAAAAUUGAUUUAACCGAAUUGGGCGUCCCUCUUCAAAGAUUAGAUUCUGGGUCCAGAAUAGUUUUCACAACUCGUUUUCGUGGUACUUGUGGUGAAAUGGGAGCUGACGAGCGGUUCGAAGUGUCCUGUUUGGGAGAUGACGAUGCCUGGAAAUUUUUUGAGGGGGUGGUUGGGAGAUACGUUCUCGACAAGCAUCCCGACAUUCCGGAGCUAGCCAAAGCUAUGGCAAGGCAGUGUCAUGGUUUGCCGCUAGCACUCAAAACAGUAGGUAAUGCCAUGGCGAGCAAAGAGUACCCUCAAGAAUGGAGUCACGCCAUUGAGAUCAUAAGCAGAUCAGCUUCUAAAUUCAAAGAUAUGGAAAAACAGGUGCUUUCGCGUUUGAAGUUCAGCUAUGAUAGUUUGCCCACUGACGAACUUCGUUCUUGUCUCUUGUACUGUUGUUUAUUUCCGGAAGACUCUGAAAUUCCAAAAACCGACUUGAUGGAGUAUUGGAAAAGUGAAGGAUUUGUGGAUUCUAGCAGCGGGUGGGGGGUUCUUGGUGCUCUCCUUCGUGCAUGCUUAUUGGAGGAAGCAGGCUUAGUGGACGAAGGAGGUAAUCGUGUAAAAAUGCACGAUAUGAUUCGUGACAUGGCAUUAUGGAUAGCAAAUGAAAUAGAGGAGGAGGAGGAGAACUUCUUGAUUCGUGCAGGAGUUGGAUUAACUGACGCCCCAAAGAUUGAAGAAUGGGAAGGGGUCAAAAGGAUAUCCUUGAUGGAGAACAAAAUUCAAAGUCUACCACAAAUUCCCACUUGUCCGCGUCUCCAGACUUUGCUUCUAAAUCGAAAUCAUAUUGCGAAGAUCACUGACAGUUUCUUUCAAUCUUUGCCUUCGCUUAGAGUUUUGAAUCUAAGUGGAAAUCAUUACCUAACUGAACUACCUGUAGGAAUUUCAAGUUUGGUUUCAUUACACCAUCUUGAUCUGUCUUAUACUCCCCUAACUGAACUUCCUGUAGGGAUUUCAAGUUUGGUUUCAUUACACCAUCUUGAUCUGUCUUCUACUGAAGUACGUGGGUUGCCGCAAGAGCUCAAGGCAUUGGUGAAUCUGAGAUAUUUGAACUUGGAGUAUACACGUAAAAUGUCUAGAAUUCCAGAGCAAUUGAUAUCAAGCUUUCCAAAGUUACAGGUGCUCAGGAUGCUGAGUUGCGGUUCUGAGAUAUUUCCAAUAGUGGAAGAAGGCAACGUUCUAUCCGAUGGUGCUGAACCAUUGAUUAAGGAAAUCCACUGUUUGGAACAAUUAAAUCUCAUCACCUUGUCCUUACGUGGUACGCGUGGUGUUGAAAACUUUUUGAAAUUCCCAAAGCUGCAGAAUAUCACUCAAGCUCUGUCCAUCGAACACUGCAACAGUCUACCGCUCAAUUUGUUGCAUCUAUCAAACAUGGAGCAUCUUGAGAAGCUA